rnacentral:rRNA from 1 species
AGGGGGGAACCUGCGGAGGGAUCAUUACCGAGUUUACAACUCCCAAACCCCUGUGAACAUACCUACAGUUGCCUCGGCGGAUCAGUCUGUCCUUCGGGACGGCCCGCCGCAGGACCCUAAACUCUGUUUUUAGUGGAACUUCUGAGUAAAAAAAACAAAUAAAUCAAAACUUUCAACAACGGAUCUCUUGGUUCUGGCAUCGAUGAAGAACGCAGCAAAAUGCGAUAAGUAAUGUGAAUUGCAGAAUUCAGUGAAUCAUCGAAUCUUUGAACGCACAUUGCGCCCGCCAGUAUUCUGGCGGGCAUGCCUGUUCGAGCGUCAUUUCAACCCUCAAGCCCAGCUUGGUGUUGGGAGCUGCAGUCUUGCACUCCCCAAAUACAUUGGCGGUCACGUCGAGCUUCCAUAGCGUAGUAAUUUACACAUCGUUACUGGUAAUCGUCGCGGCCACGCCGUUAAACCCCAACUUCUGAAUGUUGACCUCG